CUGAUAGUUCCUUGUUUGGUAUAGAUUAAAGCUAUCGCAUAUGAACCUCUCUCAGCAUAAUUUUCUCUCUAAGUAGAUAGCUUCAGUGAGAAGGAAUAAUUCUUGCAUGAAAAUUUGCAGCCACACCCCCUCCCCCCAAAAAAAACACCAUCUCAUUUUUGCUGAAUAUACCUUUUAUUUCUUAUAUAGUGUUAGCAUGAAUUUUGUUAACAUUGAUUCAGAUUUGUUCUCGAUGGUGUAUUACUCACCGGAAGAAGGCAAAACAAAUUUUUGAAACAUGAGAUAAAUUAUUCAGCCCUUCCCAGAAAGACAGGCGGGUUUCUUUUCUCUAUUUGGCUAAUGACAUAUUGCAAAAUAGCAUGCGGAAAGGAGGUGAGUUUGUGAAUGAAUUCUGGAAAGUUCUUCCUGCAGCCCUCAAACAUGUGUAUGACAAUGGUGAUGAGAAAGGAAAGAAAGCAGUAACCAGACUGGUUAACAUAUGGGAAGAGAGAAAAGUUUUUGGUUCUCGAGAAAGAUAAAAUACUCGAAAUUAGCUGUUGGAGGUCUUCCAGAAAAAAUACUCACUGCAUAUCAAUCCGUACUCGAUGACAAUUCAAAUGAGGAUACUGCUUUAAACAAAUGCAGUGUUGCAGUACAAAACUUUAUUACAAUUAGGGAGGAUGUUCGAAGUAGUUUAGCUCAAGGUAUGAGUUCUGCUAUGGGAUUAAAUGUUCUAUG